AAAAAAAAACUAUUUUAAGUUAUUGUUAUUUAAUCAAUCUUUUAUUUUAUUUUAAUUUAUCUUUUUGAGAAUGUGGUAUAUCUGAUUGUGGUUUUACGGAUAAAGCGAGAAUGACGGUGUUGCUUGCUGAUUGGACACAAAAAUACCACUUCGACUGUUUUCCUGUAAUGCCAAAGUUGACUUCAAUACGCAAAUUUUCUCAGCUCACAGCAACAUCUCAAGUUUGACCCAUUUGUCCUCAAGCUGGAUGUGUGUGGCAUGUUUUGGGUAAUUUAAAUUAAUUUUCAUAAUAAUUAUUUAUUGCUACGGUAAAUUAUUCUCUCCACUCUAGCUAGAGACACGUGGUGGUACAUCCUUCUUCAUUAUGGCAAUGAUCAUUCAUACAAAAACAAAUUCAUAAUUAAUUUAAAGAAUCGAAUAGAAAUUAUUGUAAGAAACGAACAUAGAAAUUACUCAUUGAUAGUCCUUGUUUGUGAUGACGAAUCUGUUUGAUCCAACCUCCACUUCAGCGCACAUAAACGAACGUUGUGGUUCGAAUUCAUUGUACCGAAUCAACCUAACACCGAAAAGAUCUUCAUAGAAUUGAAUCACUCAUAUACCACUGGUUGGGCCCACAACCAGUUGUGGGGUCAGGUCUGUGAUGGUUACCGAAAAAGAAGGAUAACGAAGAGGAACAAAAACACUAGGAGGAGGAGAAGUAAAAGGCGAGUAUGAAAAGCCACAAGAAUGUUGAGGUUGAGCAUGAGGCUUUAGUAAGCAUCACAUACUUGACCCCACAACUGGUUGUGGGCCCAACUAAUGGUAUAUAGGUGAUUCAAUUAUAUGAAGAUCUUUUCGAUGCUAGGUUGAUUCGGUACAAUGAAUUCGAGCCACAAUGUUUGUUUGUAUGCACUGAAGUGGAGGUUGGAUCAAACAGAUUCGUCAUCACAAACAAGGACUAUCAAUAAGUAAUUUCUAUGUUCGUUUCUUACAAUAAUUUAUAUUCGGUUUUUUAAAUUAAUUAUGAAUUUGUUUUUGUAUGGAUGAUCACUGCCAGAAUGAAGAAGGAUGUACUGCCACGUGUCUCCGGUUAGAGUGGAGAGAAUAAUUUAUUGUAGCAAUAAAUAAUUAUCAUGAAAAUUAAUUUAAAUUACCCAAAACAUGCCACACACAUCCAGAUUGAGGACAAAAGGGUCAAACUCAAGAUGUUGCUGCGAGCUGAGAAAAUUCGCGUAUUGAAGUCACCUUUGGCAUUCCAGGAAAACAGUCAAAGUGGUGUUUUUGUGUCCAAUCAGCAAGUAACACCGUCAUUCUCGCCUUAUCUGUAAAACCACAAUCGGAUAUACCACAUUCUCAAAAAGAUAAAUUAAAAUAAAAGACUGAUUAAAUAACAAGAACUUUAAAAAGUUUUUUUUUUCUAUUAUCAAAAUGACAAAAAACAUCUUAUAAAAAAGACAAUUAAGAAUAUGAAAUAAUAUGUUUAUCACAAAAUCUCUCAUAUUAUAAAGUAAGAAUUAAUAAAGAAAGUGAAUUAAGCGUUUAUAAAAAAAUAUCUCAUAUUAUAAAGUAAGAAUUAAUAAAGAAAGUGAAUUAAGCAAAACUGAAACAGAUACAAAAUAUCUCAAAAAAUAACAAAUAAAGUUAACAAGGGAAGAUUGGUCGAUUUUCUUAUCGGAUUUCUUACCAGCCGAGCUGCUGACCGAAUCGGUCCUUGAUAUUCCCAACGAGCACGCUGGGACGGCACGUAUCCUCGGCUAUCUUUUCUACAAUUUCGCAUCCAUUAAUCUGAGCCAUUUGAGCCACAACGUUCAUUUGUGUGCGCUGAAGUGAAGCUUGGAUCAAACAGAUUCGUAUUAAGUGAAGAAGGAUGUACCGCCACGUGUUUGUCUCCAACUUGAGCGCUUCAAUGCUAAAGGCCAAGAAUAUGGAAUGCAAAAUCUUGAAAAACAUAGCCGAGGACCCUUGUCGUGCUCGUUGCAAAGAUUGAGGGGACAUCUUCGGUCAUAUUUGGGAACUCUGCAACUCGGUGGGUAAGAAAUUUGAUCCGUCCUCUCCUAUGUUGUUUAUUUUUAUUUUCUCUUUGUUUCUUUUUCCAUCAAUUCUUUCGUAUAUACACACUUUCUUUUUUGAUAUCUUUCGCUUUGGUUUAAUCUGCUUCUUAAUUCUUUUUUGAAUUAAUUUGUUAAUUUUAAAUUUAAUGGAUUUCUUCUGCUUUUGUUACUAAUUUUGAUAAAAAAAAAGACUAUGGAUUUCAAUUAGAGUUAACUCGUGAUUUGCCUCCUGAACUUGUACCUAGUUUUUAAUUCAACCCAUAUCCUUUUUUUUUUUAAUUUAGAAAAUUAAGGAUAUUAACUUCUAUUUUUCCGCCAAUUUUCCCCCUACCGUCUAAAUCCUCAACAUUCAUCCAAUUUGCCCUUUAAUAUGAGGGCAUAUUGGUCAUUUCAUAUGUUAAAAAAAUAUAGAAAAAAAAGAAAAAAGAAAAAAUAAUGAUAAAUUCAUCCUCUAUUCGACAGCCACCACCGUCUCUUUGAUCUCUUUCCCCCUUCUUCUCUUAGACAUCCACCAACAUCACCAUCCUCCACCCUCUAUCUCUUCUUCCCCCACGUGCCCACCCCUUCCCACUUUCUCUCUUUUUGUGCCUCUCUCUCCUCCCUUGCCAAGGUUGCAGAGAGGAAAAUAAAAAUUAAUAAUAAAUAUCUUGAGAUUUUUGGGGUGGCUGUUUGGGUUUCCUGGGGAGUAAGGUGAGGUUAAUAAUAACGAUCUUGAAAUUUUUUGGGUGGCUAUUUAAGGUUUUGAUCUUGAAUUUUUUUUUUUUUUGGUGGCUGUUUGGGUUUUCUGGGAGGUGAGGUUGUGGAUGUCGAAGAAAGAGGGAGACAGAAGGAGGAGGGGCCGGGUGAAGGGUGGGCGGUGCUUAUGUUUGUGAAGAGAGAGAAGGGGGAAGAGAGGAGAGAGAGGGAGACACACUUUGUAGAUAACAAAAGGAAGAAAAACAAAAAAGAAGAUCAAAACCCUAAAGCCUAAGGGAAUGGAGGCGACGAGAGAAAGAGAGAGGGAGGCGGGGGGAGGAGGUGCGUCGGGGGUGUGGCUGGUUGGCCUGGGGAGAAGCAUCGGGUAGAGGAGGAGGGGGAGAAAAAAACCAGAGGGGAUGGGGAAGAAAAAGAAAACUGAGGAGAGAAGGUUUUUUUGUGUUAUCUUUUUCUGUUUUUUUCCCAAUUUUUUAUUAUUAUUAAUGAUUUAACAGAAGAUUGAAUGAAAUGUUGAGGAUGUAGACGGCAAGGGGGAAAUUUGCGAAAAUAAGAAGUUCAUAUAUCCUUAAUUUUCUAAAAAAAGAAUUUGCGAAAAUAAGAAGUUCAUAUAUCCUUAAUUUUCUAAAAAAAGAAGGAUAAGGGGUAAAUCAAAAUUUAGAUACAAAUUCAAGGGGCAAAUUACCAAUUAACCCUUUCAAUUAUUAUUAAUUUAUUUUGAAAUGUUGGUUUUGAGUAGUUGGUGUAUUAGAUGGUGGUUUUAUGGAAAGUAUGAAUAUGUUGAUUGUGGGGCCGACGCGGUGGAACUCUGGCUACCACUUUGAGAGUUUUCCUGGAACGCCGAGGGUGGCUUUAUAGGAAGCUAAGCUCACGGCUGAAGAUGUUUUUAAUCACAUUCACCAGUACAAAUCGACAUUCUCAUUUUAACCCUAUUGUGCUUGGUCUGGAAGAUACGGUAAUUUUCCAUGCUAAAGUUCUAAUAUUAUUGACAAGCAAAUAGAUCAUUUAGUCUUAUUGAUCAUAUAAUUUCGGAGGCACAAGGGUGGGGCUCGGUGGUCCUUACAUUCCAUAUAAUGCGUGGAUAAAUUUAGACAAUGCCGGAGGUGAUUUCAUGUACGAGAAGCCACCUGAUUAUAGCACGGUUGGAUCAGGGAGGAGGAGGAGAAGAAAGAGGCAGUUAAGAAGAAGCAAAUUAAGGCACCUAAGAUGAAGAAGAAGUAACAUGCACUGAAGAAGAAUAAUGGAGGAAACUGAGACUUGUUUCUGGUUUCGAUAUUGGAAUUGGGUUUUAAUUCCAAUACCUUUCGAUUGUAAAUGCGUUUGAACGCAGUAAAAGUCAACAGUUUGAUUGCAUUGAAUUGGAGAUAUGCCCAAACCACAUGAAUGGCAA